GUACUGGUGAAGAGUCCCAAACUAGGACUAAACAGCUGUCCGGUAC
rnacentral:hammerhead_ribozyme from 1 species